rnacentral:rRNA from 1 species
UUAAUUAAAACAAAUAAUAUUAUUCUACACGAAGUUAGGGGAGCUAAUUAUAUAUAUAUUAAUAGAUAUGAACAUGUUGCAUAAUUAAGAAAAUAAUAAUUAGGAGUGAUAGGCUUACCACACCCAACGAUAACUUGAUGGUUAAGAGAUGUAUUAAUACAUAGGCACUCUUAAAGUGAUAAGGUUUUAAGAGGAUGACAAAUUUUUAACUUACAAAUAUGUAUUUUGUUUAACCAUUUAUACAAUAAUAUUAUAAUAUUAAUUUAUAAUAAUUGUUUAAUUUAUUAACCUAUAUUAAAAUAAUAAAAUAUACAUAUAAUGUUGAUAUUAGUAUAAUAGAAUUACUUAUAAUGAACUCGGCAAUUAAUCUUUCAACUGUUUAUCAAAAACAUAGCUAUAUGAUUAAAUAUAUGGUGUUUUCUGCUCAAUGAAUCAUAAAUAGCCGCAGUACCCUGACUGUGCUAAGGUAGCGCAAUCAAUUGACUUUUAAAUGGAGUCCUGUAUGAAAGAAAUUAUGGAAGGUUACUUUCUCAUUAGUAAUCAAGGAAUUUACUUAAGAAGUGCAAAUUCUUCUAUAUAAAUAAUAGACGAGAAGACCCUAGAAAUUUUAUAGAAAUAAUCUUUUUGUUGGGGCAACAAAGUAGCAUUUAAAAUCUACUAUUAUAACAAGAAAGGUAUAUCUUGAAAGAAUAAAUUACUCUAGGGAUAACAGCAUAAUUUGGAAAAGUUUGUGACCUCGAUGUUGGAUUAGGGAAUUUACAUUUAGAAG